GUUAAGAAAACAUAUAGAGUGGGGCGCUCAUAUUCGCCGUGGACACAAUUUCGCCGUUUUAUGAUUUUGAGGUGUAAAAACUUCAAAGGAUGGUUGAAAUGGAAGAAAUAUGCCGGUAAAUUAUAUUUUUAUAACAAAUAUGAUUAUUUUUGAAAAUGAGACUAAAUUUCGGCACUUACCGCAAAGGACCGAAAAAUGGACAACGAUUUUCAGCCAAUUUCCUGAAUGAAAAAAACGAUUUAAAAGAAGUAUUUCUUAGUAAUUCUGUGACUUGUUGCCCUAAACUUCAGUUUUUUUUACACCUUUCAAAUGUCUGCUAUUCAUCUAUAAUGAAAUUUAUUUGAUAAAUAUUGUUUAAAGCUGCAAUUAUUUGGUUUAAAUUAGAUGUGUAAAAACGGCGAAUAUGUGUCCCCCGUUGACAAAACAUUAGGAAAUUUCAAACACCCUUUAAUCCAACUUUUCAGAUGAUUUUUCUCAAAACAAACACGUUUUAAAGCUAAGAAUAUUUUGCAUGUGAAGUUAUCUUCAUAUAGAAAUAUCAGUAUACUUCAAAAACAUAAAGACCUGAACAUAAACCGAAGAAAACAUGGAAAGAUAUGGCGAAAAUGAGCACCCCACUCUAAUUUUGGAAAUUCUGAAGAAUUUAUACUGUGAACAUCAACAGUUUUACGAAAAAAUCUCAUACUCUUGCCUGCAAUAAAUGUAUCUUUUGAACCAGAAAUGUAUGUUCAUCUGUUAUAAUUAUUUUAAUAAUGUCCCAUAGGUGAUAUUGACACCACCAGUUGUACAGUUGUUUAAAUGUGAAAGCCUUUC
rnacentral:lncRNA from 1 species